CCUACGGGAGGCAGCAGUGGGGAAUAUUGGGCAAUGGGCGCAAGCCUGACCCAGCAACGCCGCGUGAAGGAAGAAGGCUUUCGGGUUGUAAACUUCUUUUGAAAGGGAAGAGUAGAAGACGGUACCUGUCGAAUAAGCCACGGCUAACUACGUGCCAGCAGCGGGGGUAAUACGUAGGUGGCAAGCGUUGUCCGGAUUUACUGGGUGUAAAGGGCGUGUAGCCGGGUUGACAAGUCAGAUGUGAAAUCCUGCGGCUGAACGGCAGAACUGCAUUUGAAACUGGUGGUCUUGAGUACUGGAGAGGCAGAGGGAAUUCGUGGGGUAGCGGUGAAAUGCGGAGAGAGUAGGAGGAA
rnacentral:rRNA from 1 species